CUUACUGCUCAGUAACACGUAGUCAACCUGCCCUUGGGUCGAGAACAAUCUCGGGAAACUGAGGCUAAUUCUCGAUAAAUCAAGAUUCCUGGAAUGGGUUUUGGUCAAAAUGAUGUAACAGCAUCUUGUUAUUUUCGCCCGAGGAUGGGACUGCGGCCGAUCAGGCUGUUGGUGAGGUAAAGGCUCACCAAACCAGUAACCGGUACGGGCUUUGAGAGAAGGAGCCCGGAGAUGGACACUGAGACAAGGGUCCAGGUCCUACGGGGCGCAGCAGGCGCGAAACCUUCGCAAUGCGCGCAAGCGCGACGAGGUUAUUCCGAGUGAUUUCCGCUGAGGAAAUCUUUUCUCAGAUCUAAAAUGUCUGGGGAAUAAGGGGAGGGCAAGUCUGGUGUCAGCCGCCGCGGUAAUACCAGCUCCUCGAGUGGUCAGGGCGUUUAUUGGGCCUAAAGCAUCCGUAGCCGGCUCAGUAGGUCUCCUGUUAAAUCCAACGGCUCAACUGUUGGUCUGCAGGAGAUACCACUGGGCUAGGAGGCGGGAGAGGCGGACGGUACUCCGAGGGUAGGGGUAAAAUCCUUUGAUCCCCGGAAGACCACCAGUGGCGAAGGCGGUCCGCCAGAACGCGCUCGACGGUGAGGGAUGAAAGCUGGGGGAGCGAACCGGAUUAGAUACCCGGGUAGUCCCAGCUGUAAACGAUGCGAGCUAGGUGACACAAGGCCUUCGGGGCCUUGUGGUGCCGCAGGGAAGCCGUUAAGCUCGCCGCCUGGGGAGUACGGACGCAAGUCUGAAACUUAAAGGAAUUGGCGGGGGAGCACAAGG
rnacentral:rRNA from 1 species